UCCGGUUUGACACCGGCAGUCUCCCAUGAGUCCCCGACAUCACUCGCUGGCAACAUAGGAUAAGGGUUGCGCUCGUUGCGGGACUUAACCCAACACCUCACGGCACGAGCUGACGACAACCAUGCACCACCUGUGUACGACGCCGAAGCACACCGUGUUUCCACGGCUUUUCCGUACAUUUCAAGCCCUGGUAAGGUUCUUCGCGUUGCUUCGAAUUAAGCCACAUGCUCCGCCGCUUGUGCGGGUCCCCGUCAAUUCCUUUGAGUUUUAGCCUUGCGGCCGUACUCCCCAGGCGGGGUGCUUAAUGCGUUAGCUUCGGCACAGAAAGGGUUGAUACUCCCCACGCCUAGCACCCAUCGUUUACGGCUGGGACUAC
rnacentral:misc_RNA from 1 species